GAGCGGCCUUGGUCACGUGGGCACACGUAUCACCCGUCAGGGGCUUUAAGAGCAGAAAGGCAGCACCACCAUCACCACCACCAUCAUCUCCUGGUUCGUAGACGGCGGUGAAGUCGAAAGAUAAAGGGCUCUGAGAUACAAGUCCAAUCUAUUUGUCUUUGCACACUGAGCAGGGUUUCCUGUGCCAAGGCCAGUAUUCUGUCGGCUCAGAGUUGCAGCAGACUAGGUGGGCACACCGGACGUCUCUCGUUUCUCCCCAGCAAUAGUUUUCAGUUCACUGGAAACCAUUGCUGGGGAGGAUUUUCCAGUUGCCCCAUAACUUGAGCACAUAGUAAUCCCUCAAGGAAUCUACAGAUACAGCUGGUUAUGCCUGGAAAACCUCCAAAAGCAAGGCGCCCAGAUGGUAUCCUAAUCAGACACCCGAGCCACCUCAUCAGACUCUUUCUGAGCAAUGGAGGAGCAACUCUAUCCUGAGCUCUGGACGUGUUUCAAAGUCUGAGCCCAGUCACCAAAGGCAGGUAAACUUAUUGUUUCCUCUCAACAAAGGUGUGAUUCAGUCCCUCAACAAUCUGCAUGUCCAAAGACCAAGAAAUUGUUAAACUCUUUCACUUUGGGCAGCAACUCACCCACAACCAAGAGGAAACAUUUUCUGACAGAGAACCAUAGCCACAGAGUUACAAGUGCUCACUUUCACAGUGGGCUGCCACUCAAGUGAGCACUGAAGGACAUGUUCUUGGUAAACCAAUAAAAUCAUUCCAUCUGCAAAACAGCAGAGGCACGAUUGCGAGGUUCCUAAACUGGACACCCUCUUCAGUCUGGCUGUGCCACUGGGCUCAUGUCACUAACAGGAUCAGAGACAAGGGGGGGAAACCUUGGUGGACUCCAAACACAUGCUGAAAAUGUGACAAUUUGAGCACAGAUUUCACUGCCCUGCAAGACUGGCAUGCGGUAUUGAUGAUGUACAGUUUUUGUUGUUGUUGUUUGUUUUUAACUUUGUAUGGAUGAGCCCAUGAACAAAGAGUGAUUAUAACAUUUCUCGUGAAAAAUUGUCAAGUUGUAUAUGUAAUGUUGGGCCAGUUGCAAGUCUAGAAGAGGUAAAGUUCUUUUUUAGAAAUAUUUACACAUGUGCACGCGAACAAAUACUUAUGACAGAUUACUUUAUGCUGCCUUCUUAAAUGUCCUUUAAACUAAAACUAAAACAAGCAUGUGUGGAUCUGAUUACCAGCCAGUGUUAGAGGAACUUCUCAGGGAGCAUAGCUUUGCAAGCUACCUCAAAAAUGUUCAAUUACAGCAAAGCUACAUUAGGAAGAAGUCUAGUUUAGUUAACUAAUGCUUCUCAUUAAAAGAUUUUCAGUUCCUGGGUCACUUUAGUAACUAUAUAAUUCAGUGAUUAAAAACAAGCACCCAGUAUUAAAGAAUUAAUAUGUAGCAUUUAAUUUUGCACUUACAUUGUUGAAAGAAUUGUAUAAACAGUAUAUAUUGCAUAUUGAUGAUUUCACUCCUGCCUCUGCCACCAGAUGCCCUCUGAUUUUCCUUUAGUGUGUGUGUGUGUGUGUGUGUGUGUGGGGCUGUACACAUGUACACGUGUUUUCAGUUUAGUUUAGUCUCGGUUUGUUUCAAGUUCAGUUUAGUUUUUAUUGUUUAAGCAUGUCUAGUUUUACUUUACAUUUUAUUACGUUCAGUGUUACGUGUGGUAUUUUUACAGUUUGAGUGUAGAUGUAUAUUUGGUCAGGGUCAAGCUUUUCAGAAGUUCAAAGUAAUUACAAUAUAAGAAACUCCAGGCUCAAUAGAUAUUUGAAUGCCACCUCAUGUUUGUUGUCUUUGCACAUUUGAUUCAAUUUAUAGAAUAAAAAAAUGUCUUCUUUCAGAAGAAAUUUUUUGAACAUGACACGUGCCUUGUUGGUAUUUAGGUGAAUGGUGCUGUAGAUUCUUGUGUAUUUUAACUUUCUUGUGUACUUAUUAGAUUGUUUCUAUGUAAGUUGUUUGUGUGCUGCUUUGUUUUAAGAAUCAUUGUGUAAAAUUGCCAUUAAUUAUUAUUUUUACUAUGUUUUAAACACAUUUUGACUCUUUGAUGUAAAUGGAUCUGCCCUGUUUUAUAUUUUCAUGGUUCCACUCCUGCCCCUCGGUGCACCCCCUUCUGACUUUCCUGAAGUUUCAUUUCCUAUUAUUUUUAAUUUCAGAUUAAUUUGGGUUUGACUGAGUUUGUUGGUUGCAGUUUAGUUUUUAAAAAUGCUUAAUUUACUUUUUAUGACUUUUAGUGUUUCAGUUUUUUUCAAUGAUUUUAAUUUGGAUCUCUCAUUUUAGAUGUUUUUUUUGUUUAAUGCCAAGUUUUGUUUAACUAUAAUGACCUUAUUGCCUAACUCCACUUGUUUCCAGUUCCUAAAGCGGUACAAGUGUUUCACUUAUCUGCUAACUCACCUGCAAGCCUGCAGUCCUCGUUCCUGCUGUCCUUGUACAAACCAUGAUACUGGUCAAAAGGAACCUUUGUAUACUAAUGAUGGAUGAAGAACAUGUGGGUGGAAACUUUUAAUGUAAAAUAG